GGGCCUCUAGCUGAAUUGGUUAGGUGGUCUGAUUAGCGCUCUUCAGGUCCUGAGUUCGAUUCCCGGUGGGAGCG